UAUCUCUGGACGCUGAAUCCCUGGGAAGGGAGCGGGGGACCCACCUUUUUGGGGUGAAUCCCGGCUUUUUGCAGCCGGGUAGGGUCAGGCUUUCGACCCGAACCCGUCAGCUAACCCCGUAAGCGUGGAAAGCCGCAGAG
rnacentral:sRNA from 2 species